ensembl:lncRNA
AAAACCCUCCAAAAAUCACCGACAUGAUAUCUAAUCAUUCUUCAUCUCACGUCAAUCGUCACUGAAAUAACACCAACGUGAACCCGAGAAAAAACCCAAAAAAACACUUUAUUCUAUAAAAGGCGUAGAGAAUCACGACUGUACAGGGGAAACUGACUUUUAACACCAUUUCUCACAGUAUCAAAAAGCUUGUGUUCGCCUCACUGAUCUUUACACAUUUGUUCUGUACAAAUACAAAAGAAAUAACAUUAAUUACUUGUAUUAUUAUCAGGAUAACUGCAUUGCACUGAGUAAUAUAGUACUGGCCCAUAAGUUACUGCAUUCAAUAUAAAAUACCUAUGAUUCCGACCUUGAAAAACAAAACAAAAACAAACAAACAGGGAAAGAAAAAAAAAGAGAGAGAGAGAGAGGAAAAACACGCUCGCGUACACUCGCGCAAAGCAAACCCGAUAUAUGUGUGUUUGUUGAACUCAAACUGAAAAUGAGUAAACAUGCUUGAAAAAGAUGUUCAGUUCAGUCACGAGACAUAAAAUACAAGUGAAGGUCAUAAAAUGGGUCGGUUUGGAAAUAAAAUUCAUCUACAAGAGUUCCUACUGGAGGUUCCUGAUGGCAUUUCGGUCGCACGGAACCGAGACGACGCACAUUUCAUUUGAUCAAAGGGUCGUUCUGAGUACUGUGCCUAUUUAUAAACAGAGCGUCACUAAAGUCAGGUAGUAGCUGUUUUUUUUUUUUUGUUGUUGUUGUUUUUUUUUGUGUGUUUUUUUUUUUUUUGCUUUUUUUUUUUUUUAAACGUGCAAAGAAUGGCUUUAAUUGCACAGGAAAUGCCACGCCGUAUCAGAGAUGGAUCAUCAGUGCUUACAGGCCACCGUCAGGUCACCGACAUGCUCAGCGACUUCACAAAGAAAAUUCUCUCCAUGCAAAACAAAACAAAACAAAAAAAAAGUUACAACACAUCCGAUUAAAAAGGGAUUUUUUUUUCCCUUUAGAAAAAAAAAACAAAACAAAACAAAAAAAAAACAACACAUUGUUGAGCCAACAAAGGGAAAAAGAAAGAAAUUUUUUUUUUUCACAUUGUCUAGUCAGUGUUAAAAAUAGAAAUCCACCCGUUACGUUUAUUCAGAACUUUGAUUAUAUACAAUAUUUACAUGUAUUCGUUAAUUAUUUAUAAUUGUCUGUAUGCCUAUGAACAGUUUAUUUAUUUAAAAAAAAAAAGGAUCGCAAUCGAAUGCAUAUACUUUUCUACAAAGAUGUGCUUAGGUUUAGAGUUGAAGCAAAGAGAAUAGGACUGAGAAUAGAUCUGACGUCUGAAGAUUGCACUGGAUCAAAGAUUAUUUUAAUUUGUUUCUAUUUAUUUAUUUAUUUGAACCCCUCCCCCCACCCCACCGAACAUGCAGUCAACUCUUGAAGGCUGGAAUCCAACACGCUGCGUUUAGCUUCCACAAACAAAAUAAAAGGCCUGACGCGUACGUCUUCGUAAUCUGCUAGCUGUUGAAACGACGACCGCGACGACACGCGCUAGCGUGACGGGAUAGGGACGAGGUCGAAUAAAUCGUCCUCUCUGAACGGGACUGUGCUCUACGAUUUUUAAUCCGAUAAUCGCCACGGAGGUCGAGGGGAAGGUCCGGGUCUCACUUUUGCAUAGUCGAGUGAAACCAGGGCUGGAGCUAAAACUGUUCCUUUAAGAAAUGGUUGUUUGUUUUUUCGAUGUUGUCUUUUUUUUCUUUUUUUUUUGCCUUACUUUACUAGGGGUCCCAACCCAGAACCCUGAGGAACUCCGCCAAACCAGAUGCGCAAAAUACACGAGUUGCACAUUUACUUCAAUUAAGGCUCUGAUGGGCGUGAACAAUAUGUGCCUAGAACACACACCUCUACUAUUAAAACUCUGAUUAGGUUUCAUAGAAAAACACACACACACACACUCACGGUUAUCAAGCGCCCGUAUUUCCUAUCCUAACCCCAUUUGGAU